rnacentral:rRNA from 1 species
ACGGGGUGCAGCAGGCGCGAAACCUUUGCAAUACACGCUAGUGUGACAGGGUCAUCCCGAGUGCCGACCGCUGAGGUUGGCUUUUACCCAGUCUAGAAAGCUGGGGGGAUAAGGAGAGGGCAAGUCUGGUGUCAGCCGCCGCGGUAAUACCAGCUCUCCGAGUGGUGUGGACGUUUAUUGGGCCUAAAGCAUCCGUAGCUGGCUGAACAAGUCCCCUGUUAAACCCACCGAUUUAAUCGUUGGCUUGCGGGGGAAACUGCUCGGCUAGGGGACGAGAGAGGCAGACGGUAUUCCCGGGGUAGGGGUGAAAUCCUAUAAUCCCGGGAAGACCACCAGUGGCGAAGGCUGUCUGCUAGAACGCGCCCGACGGUGAGGGAUGAAAGCUGGGGGAGCGAACCGGAUUAGAUACCCGGGUAGUCCCAGCUGUAAACGAUGCGGGCUAGGUGUUUGGACGGCCACGUGCCGUUCUAGUGCCGCAGGGAAGCUGUUAAGCCUGCCGCCUGGGGAGUACGAUCGCAAGAUUGAAACUUAAAGGAAUUGGCGGGGGAGCAC